rnacentral:tRNA from 1 species
GUCUAAGUAGCAUAGCGGUAAGUGCACAGCCCCGGAUAGGUUGAGACGCGGGUUCGAAUCCGGCCUGAGAUG